rnacentral:rRNA from 1 species
GUAGGUGGCAAGCGUUGUCCGGAAUUAUUGGGCGUAAAGCGCGCGCAGGCGGUUCUUUAAGUCUGAUGUGAAAGCCCACGGGCUCAACCGUGGAGGGUCAUUGGAAACUGGAGAACUUGAGUACAGAGGAGGAAAGCGGAAUUCCACGUGUAGCGGUGAAAUGCGUAGAGAUGUGGAGGAACACCAGUGGCGAAGGCGGCUUUCUGGUCUGUAACUGACGCUGAGGCGCGAAAGCGUGGGGAGCAAACAGGAUUAGAUACCCUGGUAGUCCACGCCGUAAACGAUGAGUGCUAAGUGUUAGGGGGUUUCCGCCCCUUAGUGCUGCAGCUAACGCAUUAAGCACUCCGCCUGGGGAGUACGGCCACAAGGCUG